AUACCGGGCCUAUUUAGGUCUGGUAAUUGGAAUGAGAACAAUUUAAAUUUUUUAGUGAAUUCCACUGGAGGGUAAGUCUGGUGUUAGCAGUUGUGUAAUUCCAGCUCCAGUAGUGUAUAUUAAAGUUGUUGCAGUUAAAAAGCUCGUAGUUGGAUUUCUGGUUUGACGCGUUUGGCCCUCUCGGGUUUUACUCGAUGUGCGUGCCGAUGCGCGUCUGCCAUCCUUGUAGAGAACGUUUCUACCCUUCAUUGGGCCGGAUUCGCGAUCUACAUCUUUUACUUUGAAAAAAUUAGAGUGUUUAAAGCAGGCUUGUGCUAUGAAUACAUUAGCAUGGAAUAAUAAUUUAGGACUUUAGUUCUAUUUUGUUGGUUUCUAGAGCUGAAGUAAUGAUUGAUAGGGAUAGUUGGGGGUGCUAGUAUUCAGUGGCCAGAGGUGAAAUUCUUGGAUUCACUGAAGACUAACUUAUGUGAAAGCAUUCACCAAGGAUGUCUUCUUUAAUCAAGAACGAAAGUUGGGGGAUCGAAGAUGAUCAGAUACCGUCGUAGUCUCAACUAUAAACGAUGCCGUCUCAGGAUGAGUGAAUGUUGCAUUUCGACUUCAUUCGCACUGUAUGAGAAAUCAAAGAUUUUGGGUUCCGGGGGGAGUAUGGUCGUAAGGCUGAAAUUUAAAGGAAUUGACGGAAGGGCACACCAGGAGUGGAGCCUGCGGCUUAAUUUGAUUCAAUACGGGAAAACUUACCAGGUCCAGACAUAGUAAGGAUUGACAGAUUGAAGAUCUUUCUUGAUUCUAUGGGUGGUGGUGUAUGGCCGUUCUUAGUUGGUGGAGUGAUUUGUUUGGUUAAUUCCGUUAACGAACGAGACCUCGACCUGCUAAAUAGUUCGGCGAACUCUUUUGGGUUCGUUCCGUAACUUCUUAGAGGGACUAUCGGUGCGUAGCCGACGGAAGUUCGAGGCAAUAACAGGUCUGUGAUGCUUUUAGAUGUUCUGGGCCGCACGCGCGCUACACUGAUGCGAUUAUUGAGCUUACAAUUUUGACUGAGAGGUCUGGGUAAUUUUUUCAAAACGCAUCGUGCUGGGGAUAGAUUAUUGUAAUUUUUAAUUUUAAAUGUGGAAUUCCUAGUAAAUGCGAGUCAUUAGCUCGCAUUGAUUACGUCCCUCCCCUUUGUACACACCGCCCGUCGCUACUACCGAUUGAAUGGCUUAGUGAGGUUCAAGGAGCGUGUCCAAAA
rnacentral:rRNA from 1 species